UACAGAGGUCUCAAGCGUUGUUCGGAUUCAUUGGGCGUAAAGGGUGCGUAGGCGGCGGGGUAAGUCAGGCGUGAAAUCUCGGGGCUCAACUCCGAAACUGCAUUUGAUACUGCCUUGCUAGAGUACUGGAGAGGAGAUUGGAAUUUACGGUGUAGCAGUGAAAUGCGUAGAUAUCGUAAGGAAGACCAGUGGCGAAGGCGAAUCUCUGGACAGUUACUGACGCUGAGGCACGAAGGCCAGGGGAGCAAACGGG
rnacentral:rRNA from 1 species